UACGGGGGGAGCAAGCGUUGUUCGGAUUUACUGGGCGUAAAGGGCGCGUAGGCGGUCAGCACAAGUCGGUUGUGAAAUCUCCGAGCUUAACUCGGAAAGGUCAACCGAAACUGUGCGACUAGAGUGCAGAAGGGGCAACUGGAAUUCCUGGUGUAGCGGUGAAAUGCGUAGAUAUCAAGAGGAACACCUGCGGCGAAGGCGGCUCACUGGUCCGGUACUGACGCUGAGGUGCGAAAGCGUGGGGAGCAAACAGG
rnacentral:rRNA from 1 species